rnacentral:rRNA from 1 species
UACGGAGGGGGCAAGCGUUAUUCGGAAUUAUUGGGCGUAAAGGGCGCGUAGGCGGUCUGGCAAGUCAAAGGUGAAAUCCCUCGGCUCAACCGAGGAACUGCCUUUGAAACUGCCCGACUUGAGGCCGGUAGGGGGUAGUGGAAUUCCCAGUGUAGCGGUGAAAUGCGUAGAUAUUGGGAGGAACACCUGUGGCGAAGGCGGCUACCUGGACCGGUUCUGACGCUGAGGCGCGAAAGCAUGGGGAGCAAACAGG